rnacentral:rRNA from 1 species
CGUAGGGUGCAAGCGUUGUCCGGAAUUAUUGGGCGUAAAGAGCUCGUAGGCGGUUCGUCGCGUCGGCUGUGAAAUCCCGAGGCUCAACCUCGGGUCUGCAGUCGAUACGGGCGGACUUGAGUUCGGCAGGGGAGACUGGAAUUCCUGGUGUAGCGGUGAAAUGCGCAGAUAUCAGGAGGAACACCGGUGGCGAAGGCGGGUCUCUGGGCCGAAACUGACGCUGAGGAGCGAAAGCGUGGGGGAGCGAACAGGAUU